AAACAAAACAAAACAAAACAGACAAUGUCUGAGAAACUAUCACAGCCAAGAGGAGCCUAAGGAGACCUGACAGCGAAAUGUAAUAUAGUGUCCUGUAUGGGAUCCUGGGACAGAAGAACCCCCACAAUAGCGCUUUGCUUCUAAGUUGCAGAUGCAGUGGUUGAACAAUACUCUGUGUGGUGUGACAGAGAGGAAGGGAGAGGGAGAGGGACGGAAACAUCAAUGAUGAGA